rnacentral:rRNA from 1 species
AUUGAACGCUGGCGGCAGGCCUAACACAUGCAAGUCGAGCGGAUGAAGGGAGCUUGCUCCUGGAUUCAGCGGCGGACGGGUGAGUAAUGCCUAGGAAUCUGCCUGGUAGUGGGGGAUAACGUCCGGAAACGGGCGCUAAUACCGCAUACGUCCUGAGGGAGAAAGUGGGGGAUCUUCGGACCUCACGCUAUCAGAUGAGCCUAUGUCGGAUUAGCUAGUUGGUGGGGUAAAGGCCUACCAAGGCGACGAUCCGUAACUGGUCUGAGAGGAUGAACAGUCACACUGGAAACUGGACACGGACCAGACACCUACGGGAGGGCGCAGGGGGGAAUAUUGGACAAGUGGGGGAAACCUUACACAGGCCUACCGCGGGGGGGAAGAAAGCCUUCGGGUUGUAAAGGCCUUUUAGUUGGGAAGAAAAGCAGGAAAUUUAAAACCUGCUUGUUUUACGGUACCCAAAAAAAAAGCACCGGCUAACUUUGUG